UAAUUUAUUUGUAGAUUCAGAGGAGAGUAUGAUAUACACUGCUACUCCAUGUACACCUCAACCUAUCAAAGCUCCAGAAAAAGAAAGAGAGGACAGUACUUGAGAAAAGAAAGCGGGACAAGUUCCCAGAAGGAAAAAAGGGAAGCCAACAGAAUCAAAAAGAUUUACCACAGGAGAAGAAAUGCAAAUUACAAGGAAUUGCUCCAUUUAAAAAUGGACACCCAGUGGGAGGGGAUAGUUAUUUUGAGAUCGAAAGAUAAAACGAAAAUAGUUUGCGGGGGAACAGAUACGGAACUAGAAGAAAGGUUUUUCCAGCAGGAAAUUCUUGUUGACAAUUUGGACAAAAUAAAAAAAUAAAUAUGCACAAAAUUGACAUGUCUAGUGUCAUGCUUAAACUGGCUUCAGUUGGCAAAAGGAUGGAAUCAGUUCGUAAUCACCUAAUCCAUCGCCAUCAAAGGUUUCUGAUAUUGCAAGGGAUAUGUUACCAGGGC
rnacentral:lncRNA from 1 species